ensembl:lncRNA
CUAGGAGCUCACAAGUGGGCACUCGUUUUGAACUGCAGCUACUCUGUCACUCAAAGUUUCAAUAUGGAACCAAGGAACUACUUUCUGCUGUGCACCAUGGGAUGCUAGACUGACAGGGCAGUACCGUCGGCUAGAUACACGUUAAAUAACACUGUUUGACACGUUAAAUAACACUAUUUGACACUUCAAAGAAUGGAAAUCAUAUGCAAAUGAUGGCCAUUCACAGUAAGUCGCGUAAAGCUGUCACGGUUGUGGGUAGGCAGGAAACGAGGUGCAGAUCUGAAGUACAUCCUUUUAAUCUUUCUUCAAAACCAACAACAGGAGAGACAACAACCAAAACUGUUGCACAAAGCCUAGAGGCACCUCUGCGGUCAGGUCCUGACUGUGGCUCCCAGGUGCAGAGAUGCCUUUGAGGCCACCAGCCAGGACCAGAACAACCAAGGCAGGGCACUGCAGCAGACGGAGGCUCCACCUCCAAAGCAGGACAGGGCACCGGAGCAGAGGGAGGCUCCACCCCCAAAGCAGGAUGGGGCACCGGAGCAGAGGGAGGCUCCACCCCCAAAGCAGGACGGGGCACCGGAGCAGAGAGAGGCUCCACCCCCAAAGCAGGACGGGGCACCGGAGCAGAGAGAGGCUCCACCCCCAAAGCAGGACGGGGCACCGGAGCAGAGGGAGGCUCCACCCCCAAAGCAGGACGGGGCACCGGAGCAGAUGGAGGAAGUGGCGACACCAGGAGCUCGGACCACCCCUCUGGGAGUAGUAGCAGGAACCCCUCUUCAAACCACCCCGGAGGCCGUGGCGGCAGUAGCUCAGCAUCCCACCCCUCUGGGAUUGGCACUGGAGACUCUGGGCUGGGGAACGGCACUGGAGACUCUGGGCUGGGGAACGGCACUGGCGACUCUGGGCUGGGGAACGGCACAGGAGACUCUGGGCUGGGGAACGGCACAGGAGACUCUGGGCUGGGGAACAGCACUGGAGACUCUGGGCUGGGGAACGGGCAGGAGACAUGAGGCACAGAGCUGUGAGACAUCCUUUUAAUCUUUCUUCAUGCCAUCAAAAGGAGAGCCACCAACCGAAACUAUUGCACAAACACAACUGGCACAAACAGUGAUCCACAAACUAAAUAACUCAAAGGGUUCUGGGCUCGGGCGCUCCGUUAAAUAGGGUCCCCAGUUAGAGGCUGAGCUAAGACGGCUUCUAGAUGAAGCCUAACGUCAAUAGCUUGUUCCAGACCAGGAGAAACUAUGUAACAUCACUAAGUCCAAAUCCAUUCAAUCGUACAUCCAAUAGGAUGUUUUUCGAAUGCAACAUUCGGUUUUGCCACAGGAGCUGAAACUCUGCCGUUAAGAGGAGUGGGGGAGCAGGAGAAGGAAGGUAGGGAUUUAACCAAGCUAAUAUAACCUGUUUACAGAUAGUUAUAACCUAACCCUAACAGUAAUGCAUUCUGUAGGCAUAACAGAAGAGGAAACAGAGAGUGGCCACAUAUUCGGAGCAACCAGAUGGAUUGCCCUUCAAAAUCAAAUGUGAUUUUGAGAUUAAGAGAUUUCUCCUGUCUGACUCCAUUCAGGUGAGUCACAAAUUUAUUACAAACAAAAUGUACUUCUUUAAAUUUGUUAUUGUUAAUAAUGUUUUUUCAUAUGGGCUAUCAUUGUUUUUAAUAAUGUUUUUUCAAAUAGGUUAUCACUGUUUUUAAUGUUUUUUAAUAUAGGCUAUAGUUGAUUUUGUGGGUGAGUACGAGGCCUCUAGUGAGGUUUUCACCAUCCAGGCAACAACAGGUUCAACUCUGGAGUUUCAUGGCAUCCCAGGUGUCUUCAGCCAUUUAUAAGUUGUGGUUGGGCCUGGAGGAAACAAUGCUUAAUACAUUUUCUGUUUGUAUACAACUACAUUUGAGCUACAUGAUAAUUAUAACCAUUGUGUUUCUAUACAAAUACAGGAACUGAUAUUUCCUCACAACUCACCUUACAUUGCUUUAUUCAAUCAAUCAAUAAAAUGUAUUUAUAAAGCCCUUUUUACAACAGCAGUUGUCACAAAGUGCUUUACAGAGACACCCGGCCUUAAACCCCAAGGAGCAAACAACAGUAGUGUUGGAUUUCAGUGGUUAGGAAAAACUCCCUAAGAAGGCCGAAUUUUAGGAAGAAACCUAGAGAGGACCCAGGCUCAGAGGGGUGACCAGUCCUCUUCUGGCUGUGCCGGGUGAGAUAUUAAGAGUCCAAUUAGAAUAAUAAAUACUUUUCUCUGGGCUAAAUCCAGAGCCUAUUUGAUUCUAGACUAGGUCAAAAGUAUGACCAGGUGGACAAGGACAGGGACAGCAACGGGCCCCCCAAACCAGGUACUCCGCAGGUGUGGACCAGGACCUCAUCUAAAAUGUAAAACUGGAGGAGAGUGAGAAAAGUUAGAAAGUGCAUUCCUCAUAUCCCCCAGCACAAUAAUAUAGCAGCGUAACACCUUGAAACUGAGACGGGGGGGUCCGGUGACACUGUGGCCCUACCCGGGGAGGCCUCAUUCAGUUGUUGGGAAACAAAUUUUUCUAAGAUUUUGGAGAGGAACGGGAGUUUCGAUAUUGGCCUAUAAUUGUUUAAUAUGUCGGGAUCCAGAUUGGAUUUUUUUAGAAGAGGCUUAAUUUCCGCAAUUUUUUCCCAACCUUCUAACUCACCCUCACCUCCCUCGGAUCCAGAGACUGAGGAAGUAGUUCCCAGAGUGUUUGUGUUGUUUGAAAACUAAAUAUUAACCUGAGAAUGUCAAGUAUUUCCCUUAGAAUCAGGCAAAAAUAGACGUCACUCCAUUCCCCCUACAGGACCAAAACUACAGUGGGUAUAGAAAUGAAUCACCCCCAUUUAAAAUAAUCACAUUAUGUUGCUUUGCAGCCUGAAAUGAAAAGCAUUUCAGUCCCUGGUAGUGCAACUGAAGAAAACAAUCAACUAUGGGUGGCAAGGCAUUGUCAAAAGAUCUCUGGGAUAAAGUUGUGGACAGGCACAAGUCAGGAGAUGGAUACAAAAAUAAUUCAAAGGUUUAUAGAAGCGUAGCAGCUUGGGAAGCGUAGCACCAUGGCAAGCGUAGCACCAUGGGAAGCGUAGCACCUUGGGAAGCGUAGCACCUUGGGAAGCGUAGCACCAUGGCAAGCGUAGCACCAUGGG